rnacentral:lncRNA from 1 species
GGGCGAAAUAUACCAAAAGGACAGUCAAACUCACAUAAAGGUUAUUGUAAUUCGUUAAAUUGUUCAGGGUUGGAUCCAAAGUUGAGAGAUAAAAAUGAAACAAACGUCAAUUGGUCAUUUUUUGCCAAAAUUAUGUACGAAAUUUACAACCCUCAUCCAAAUAAAAACGUGGAUUUACAACCCCUGCAGUCCUGUUAGUUCAACG